UUUUUUUUUUUUUUUUUUUUUUUUUUUGCACCUCUUUUCUUUAAAACUGUCAGAUCAUUUCAGUAUUUCAAAUCCGAGGAAAACAGCCUGCCUGCUGCUGUAUUUGAAGUUGUAAUGGUGUCAAAAAGUCACGACUGACUGACAGGCGUCAGUCCCAGAGGGGCUCAUUAAAUCAUAAAAACUUGACAAGGAAAUAAUUGCGCAUCGCCAGCAACUUGGCGCCUGUUUAGACGUUUUUAUUUUCUUUCAUUAUUCGUCCCCACCGUUACGUUCAUUAACAAAUUGCAUUAAGCAACUGCGAAGGGCUAAUGGUUUGUUUAUCGCUCUUUAUUAUUAUUAUUAUUAUUUAAACAUCAGCUGGGUCAGGUGGUACCCGAGCAGCCUCUUGCCAUCAUCCGCCUGAAUAUUUUUCCGCUCCCGAGCUCUGGGUACUGUUGGAAUAUGAAAUAGAUUAUUCAUUACUCUCCUCUUUGCCACUGAUUUGAUUUCAUGUAGCGUCUUCCACAGAGAAAGAUGAAAACUUGUCAAAAAUAGGUUAUAUCUUAUUCGAAGGGGCAACAAUAGCGGCAGGUACAGGCACACUUUAAUAUUUAAUUAAGGUUGAUGUUAACCCCUUUAAAUGACUUUAGCUGUAAGUUCUAUUCAAAUGCAGAGGAGAAAAAUAAUUGUUCUUAAUUUGCAACCUGUUCAGCAGGCAUUCUUCAUGGAGUUCGCCGGAAAUUUAGAGCCGAAUUUUUAAAUAAUGAAAUUUCCCGUCAUAAAUAUUUAUAGCCGUUUGUCUACGUAGUUGAGAAUUAACUCCGAGCAAUGAUUUCCUCGUCGCGUUGGUUUGAACUGCUAGCCUAGUGGGGCACUCGGUCCUCGGGAGUGGAGGUGGCUUUCCUGGGAGAAACGCACAUCCAGAGCCAAGGACCGUUGGUUGGUUGUGGCUGGGACUGGUUUCAAGGAACCUCUGUGAGUCCCUGUCUCUGGCCCACUUGUCUCCUCCGUCUGCUGAGUGUGUGGUUGGAGGACUGUGGUCUGGGGAGUAAGUAGGGAUUUCUUAACGGAAUACUUGUGUGUCCAGGCGGCUGGUGUGGGGAGGGUGUGAUGGGGCAUCUCUGCGUAGUCGGCGAGCUCAUUGCGAACAGUGCUUCCCUAGUAGACAAUAGGACCGGUGCCUUGCUGGGCUUGACCUCCUGUCUUUUUUCCUUCCUGUGACCUGCCAUUGGUGAAACCAUCAGCUUUCCCAUGGGCUCUGAGCUUGAGGGGAAAAGCUCCAACAUCAUCAUCAUCACUGUCGUUGUCAUCAGCAGCAUCCCAGGUGUGAAGUCAGUGGUGGUGUCCAUGCCGGAAGAGCUGGCUGCACCUGGUCACCCUGUUUGAUUCGAUGAGUUUCACAGAGCUGUGGAAGCCGUUCUCAGGCCUGGUUCAUUGGUACCUCAGGGCUGGGGUAUUCUGGCCAAUACCGGGGAACAAGGAGUACUUUUCUGCCAACCUGCUUUACUCCCAUCCACCCAGCCCCAGAAAGAUAGACCCCUUGGACAGCCGCUCCAUGGAUGUGGAGGGGAGAGAUGGCACAUGUCCCUUGCCCAGCCACCAUCUCUCAGCAUCACCCACCCAAGGACAGACGGUCCAGCAGAAGCUGCGGCACAGGAGGGGUGGGUCAAGCACGUGUGAGCCGAGCGAGGCCUGCCCUAAACUUCAUAGGAAUGGCACGCACACCAGGCUCUUGGGGGCUCUCAAGCCUCCAUUUCAGUGUGUUCCAAAUUAGCCACAAAGGUGACAACUUGCCACCUUUGGAAGGGACUCCGCACCUCAGCAAGAGAUCUGCUCAGAGUCAUUUUUCCAAAAGGAAGGAAGACUUUGUGGAAAGCCAUCCCCAGUCUGACUCCCAGAGACACUGGUUGCCUGAGGUGAGCCGCCAACCAUCAGACUUGACCUCGUCCUAUGCUCUAAUUCACUAACCUUAAACUAAACUCCAGGAAACCUUGCUUAUGUGGCUUUGCCUGCAGCCCGUUGGGCUCAAACCAGUAGUGCCUGCCAGGGGGCAUCCCCAUUUUGUGACAAGUCAGGUAGCUCUCAGACAAGGUGUCAGCCUUUUAAAAAUGGGGCAGGUGACUAUGUGGACAGCUCAGAGAAAUUCUGAAAGCCACGGGCACUGUCACCCAAGAAGGGAGACAUUAUAAGAUAAACACGAGCGGCCAGGCGCAGGCAGGAGGAUAGUGUGUGUGAUUGGAGCCAAGGCUGGGUACAGGGUCCUGAAAUAGGUGAUGGAAGCAGGGUCAGCACCCUCUACUGUGUAGAGGAGGGAAGAUACAGGGAGUGAGGAGAGAAGCUGCCCAUGUUCGUUAGGAUUCUAGGUCAGUAAUUAGGUGAAUGUUCCAAAGCCCCCUUACCAGAGGCAAGUAGGGCAAAAACAAGAUGGUGGGACAAACCCAAACUGACUGGACAGGUGGGUUGGGAAUGUGUGAGGAGGUGAGGAGCAGAUGGUGUAGGGGUUAAGGAUGGAUUCCCAGCACCAGGGGACAGGAAGUGGUUAGUGGGACUCGUCCCAAGAGAUAGUCAAGAAGGAAGGGCCCCGAUGUUAGGACCCACUUUAUGCCACCCUUGGCCCAUUAUUGGUCCCCUUCAGGAGGAGCCAUAGGACUGGAAAGACAGGGUGCGUAUCUCCCAGGACCCCGGCCCAAAUCACACACAAGCCCUGUUGUCAUGCCUCAAGGAGCUCCCAGCAUGCUGUGGGAAAAGCACUUCCUCAUCCUGAAUCACCUCAUUACUCGUGCUACAUAAAUAACGAAGGCAUCACAGAGAGAGGGGGAAGUGCCAAGCAGCAGAGCUCUAGACUGUGAUUCUGUGAACUCGUGCACCCCCCCUUCCCUUCAUCCAAACAAGGCCCUUUGGCGUGAAUAAUAGCUCAGCGGCCCCGAAGCCCAUAUUGAUCCACUGCACACACGGCUCCACUGAGAGCUGCCUGGACUUUUCCUGGGGGCAGGACAGCAUCGUUCAGUGCAGCCCCCACCUUCUCCCCCCGCAGGUGUGCUCAGGAGGGGACAGUAAUGGGGGGAGCAGGGCCCAUCUCCAGCUCAGGGCUGCUUCGUUGCCUCAACUUUUUUGUUUUUAGCUUCUUUUGCCAAGAAAAGUACCUGAGUUGGAGAGAAAUGUUUUUUUGCAUGAGGCCCCACAGAGUUGAGAAUGAAAUACAUCCUCAGGCUCCAGCUUCUCUCCAGAAGGUUCUGCCAAAGAGCCAGGCCACAGAGGCACGCUCAGCUGACACGGAGGCCUACUGCAUGCCCAGCAUCAGGCUAAGCACCUUGGCAUGCCGUCCUGCGUGGUCCUGUUAAUUUUCUGUCUUAACACCAUCAGAAGAGAGAGGAGCCGAGAAUGUGGCCAGAAUCCAUCCCAUCUUUGGGGAAUGGGGUUGUUGUCAAAUUCAGAGAGAAGCAUCAGCCAUAGGUUGCUAAAUGUGCGGGGCCUGAAGCCCACCAGCCCCCCACUGUGAGGCUCCAAACACACUCUCCCCUUCCUUGUUCCCAUCUCUUCUGGACACAGGAGGUGGCCCAGGCCUUGGCCCACUGAGCCUUGUACACUUGAAAGAUAAGCCAGGUCUCUGCACAGUAACACCCUGUGAGCUGGUGGAGACCUGAAACCCCACCUUUAACGGCCCACUCCUUUGGUUUCUGCCCCUGAGCCCUGGAAAAAAUGCAGAUUCUUUUUCCUCUUAGUCGGCUUCAAUCCCAUGAACCACUGAUCCCUCGGAUGAACUGUCUGACUGUUUCCUGAGGGCAGAAUUGGAUUUGGGGGAAGAAAGACCUACCAUGGCAAGGAGCAGCUUAGUAGUCUUUGGGAGAAGAGAUAGAAGGAAAGGAGACCUUUGUUGCCUGGGACCAGCUCCUUGGUGGUGUCUUCCGGGACCAGCUGCCCUUUUGGGUCACGAAUGGGUUAUGGGGGGCACAGCCUUGCCAUAGAAGCCCACACACACCCUGGCCCGGGGCCCACGAGCACUCAGGUCAGAGGACACAUGGGCUCUGCCAAGGCAGGAUAACUGGGUGGGGUUCCCCUGGCACAUCCCACAGCAGUGCCCUUGCCAAGGAGGAGAAGGAGAGAGGGCAGGAAGGCAGAGGGUGGAGGGGUAGUUAGAACAGUAGACAGUGGGUUCCAGCCAACUGCUUUCCUUGGGGAGCUGUUCCAGCCUACCCCCCCACCCCCAGCCCUGCUGAGGUGAUGAGGCUAAGGCAUUUGGGGAAGAGCCCAAAACUGAUUGUUUAUGCCCCAGCAGCCCCUCCCCGUGCUGCCCCAUCCAGCGUCUCAGCACAGCAGGGACAGUGUGACUCUGGAGACUGUCUCCGCCUGAUUUAUAUCUCCUGUUCGUCCACAUCCCCCUCUCCCCUGCCAAGAAACCUCAGAGCGAGGAGAGCUAGGGGCUUCAUGGGCUCAUCCGUGUCCCCGACAAGACUUCUAAGCAAACAAGCCUUUCCCUGUUUGAAGUACGAGAGGUAUAAUCAGAUUUAUUCGUCUACUCAAAAAAUACUUACGGGCUGCCCUGCCCACCGUGUUCCAGGCCCCAAAGAUGCACUAGGUAAGAAAACCAGUAGGACAGUCCCAUCGCCCUGGGGGCUGCAGGCGGGAAAGCUGUCUUGGUUCCCAGAGCCCUGACUGCUAACUGCUCUCAGGCAGGUCACUCUCAGGGGCUGGGGAUCAAGCUGCGCUGCCCACGCCUCCGCCACCUCCCGGCGCUGCCCGGACGCCCCACCUCCACGAAUCCUUGCAAAGCCCUCCAGUGCUGUGUGUUCCUUCCUCCUUGCAGUUUCCACCACAACGUGUGCAAAAUGGCCCCGUUGGAGUAGCGUGGCAUUGACAUUUGCCUGCAAGUGGUUGAGUCCCCAUGAGCACUGGCUCCGUAUCUAGGACCUGCCCCCGAGAGGCAGGGGACAGGAAUGGGGACCCUUUAGAUUGGGACUGACUUGGAGGGCUUUUUUUUUUCCCCUUUUUCUUUUUUCUUUCUUUCUUUUUUCUGCUUAUUAAAUGAUAAAGGUUCAACUUGGCAGGCAAUCAGAAACCCAAAAUAUCAUAAAAGGGAAAAAAGUUGCCGAGUGGCUAAGAGGCGCACCACGGGAGUGUCAGUGGGCUCGGCGGCGAGGUGAAUUGCUGAGCGAUGGAGCAGGAGACAUUUUUCAAAGGCUUCUCUCUCCUUCUUCUCUCUCUGUCCCCCAUGCAGAAAGGGGAAAAUAGAAGCAGAAUCCAGAUUGGGGCACGAGGCUGAUGGGUCACCCUCCCCCACCACCAGCCCCCAGACAGUGGAGAAACUUUGAUCUGGGGACAGGAGGAGCCUGGGCAUCCCAGCAAAGGCUGCCACGGGGUCCUGGCCCCCGGAUAGGCCUCCCUGAGCUCCCCACAGGGGACAGAGAGCCAGGGGGAGGGGGAUUUGAAAUGAGGAAAUGUGGGACCCGUGUCCCUUGAGUUCCAUGCUGGCCACCGGUUUGGAUGGCAAAAGCAAAUCAGGUGGAUGGGCUCAGGUUCCCAGAACCCUCUAAGUGUGCAGGCUCUAGGGACCCUUUGGCCCACCCGCUGGCUCAGAGUGGAGAUGGGGUUCAGAGAGGGAACGAAUCUUUGCUGGAGACCGCCCUACAAAUGGGUGGUGGGUCCAGGCGUGGACUCCAGGUCUGCAGCCUCUGCUUGAGCUUCCCUCCUCCGCUCAAGGUGUAGCUCAAACAGCACCACAUUCUGGAAGCCACGGCCCAGCCACGGGGCCUCUUUGGUAGCGGUGGCCUUCACACCACGGGGCUAACAUUCCUCCAUUACAUGCUUUUUAAAGCAACAUGCACAGAAAGCCUCGGUUCCCUCCCUGUUGGCUGUGAUCAUUUUUUCCCUAAAUGUCAGAUCUUUUCUCUCUUGAGGAACUGGAAGAGGACACCCUGGGUGUCCCGUCGGCUGAGCUACGAAUGUCCCCUGGGAGAGGCAUUUUUACUCACAUCCACUAGCAACAGAAUCUUGUGAGAAACAACUAAGUAAGAAUUGGAGUCCCGCUGCCCCGACACUGAGCCCACAGAGGUCUCGGGCAAACACCUCAGCUGCCCAUGAUGCUCAGGCGAUGCUGCUUCAGAGCUGGGGAGGCCCUAGAAUGCUCCAGCCUCUGGUGGCUGUGGCGGCGGUGUGUUCCCACCCAGGAAGAGCCAGGCGGGGAGGCCCCACGAGGCUUUGCUCUUUUCCCAAGUUCUGGCACCUUCCAGGCCCGAGGUGCACAGAGCCCUAGACCACCAACCUGACAAGUGGCCUCACGGUAACGAGUCACAGCCUGCUCGGGGCUUCAGUUCCUCUCCGGGCAGAUGGGAAAGUUGGUCGGAAAGUCUCAGGAAGGUAGGCAUCUGCCAACUCCAGCCUCCAGUCAUUCACGCCAGUGAAAAGGGAAUGUUCCUAACAGUGCAAGGGCCAAAGGCCCUGGGGUAAGCUGGCAGCCCCUGGCAUGGAGAACCGCCUAGAAGAGCAGGAGAUUGGGUGUGCUGAGCUUCUGAGCGGUCUUGGAGGCAGGACUGGUGGCACGGGCUUGUGACCAGUGCAGUCACACAUGUGACCCCACAUUCAGAAGGGCCCCACACUGGGGUUCAAUGCUGUACAGUCGCUGUCUUGAAACUCAUGAUAAUGUCACCUUUAUAAUUGCAUUUUGUAAAUGAAGUCCAGUGAGACAGUGGAGCAUGAACAGGGAGCUUGGAGCCUUGGCCAUGCAGUCCUGCCUCCCACCACCUCCCUGCUUCUGGGGUCUGAUUCUCAGCUCCCCAGAGUCUCAGUUCCACUCGGCCUUUCCAUUCCAACCUCCACACAGCAGGUGCUACCAACCUGCCCCCAGCCUGGGCUCAGGCAUGGGAAGGGUCAAGGUUUGGAUCCGUGCAGCCCGCAGCAUCUUGGGGUGGGGUGUGGCAGCCGCAGUCCCUGCCCUCUGCUGGCAGCAUCCGGGGCACAUUUGGUGGGGGACUCACCCUCCAGGGUUGCCCAUCUGCUGAGGAUUGGAGCAGGGACCCCGCAGAAGACGGAGAUGCCUCUCUUGACGUCCUGUCCCAGGCCUGCGGCACAACUGUCCAUCCAGCCACUGGCAAGGAAGGGAGCCUGACCACCAGGCUGGAGGGCGAGUGCAUGCCCAAGUCACAAGGCAGGGACCAGCACCCUGAGGGGCUGACCUCCCCCUGAGAGCACCCCUGUGCCUGGGGGAACCCUCUCUUCCUUCUUCCAACUUCCCAGCUUGUCUCUUCUGGCCAGGUUGAGGCACUUUCUUGAAACAAGCCAAAAAUAUGUUGUGUAACUGGUGAUUCCACACACGUAAAUAUUCUGAUAUUUGCCUUUAAACCUGGCAUUGUGCUGUAUAAAAAUAAAAAGUAAAAUUCGGGCUAGUAAUUUAAAGUUUUGUCUUUACUUGGAAGACAUGAACUAGAAAUUUUUAAAUACUGUGACAAGAGACGGAGACCAGGGAAGAAAUGCAAAAAGCAUUUUCAGGGGCUCCGUAUUUUCAUUUUGCUUCGGAUCUCACCGAUUGUGGAGCGGGUCUUGCAGGGUGAGUCGCUUUCCCUCUGGGGCACCCAUUCCCCUAUCAGGAAACCAGACCAUUAACUUUGCGCUUGCUCCUCCCUUGCUCACAGGCACAAUAUGAAGAUGCGCUUGGAUAAAACCCACGAACGAGGUUUAGAAACCAGUGUAUGGUGCCAACCCUUGGCCUUGGAACAGGGCCCUGCUUUCUUAAAAAGGAGUUCAGCCCCUCUCCUGUAGGUUUAACCAUCGACAAGUCGGUCUGUCCUCCAGGUAUUGUCCCUGGGUAUCGCGUCGUAGGGACUGAAGCACCCGUCUAAGAGCCACCCCUCCUCCCUGGCGUACAGACAGUAUAACCCCUAUAUCUGGAAUCUCAGCAAGUUGUGAAAUGGAAAGAUGUCAGCCAACCCAAGGGUUGGGACCAGCGUGCAAAGACUGGUCAUUGAUCUCUACAUUCACCCCUUAAAUUAACGGUGAGGCCAGAAUUGCAGAGCUCAGUACAAAGUGUCCAGCACGGAGGAGUAUAGGUGCCAACCAGGCUUGGCUUGAGGGAUCAUCUUCUCGAGAAUGGUAAAAAUCCUGAUUCCACUCAUUCUUCCAGGAAGAGGGUGUCUCCAUUUCAGAAGCAUUCCCCAAGCCACUGUCAUGGAGGUUCCAAGUGCAACUUUCAACCUGCCUUGCCCGAUGUCUGAGGACUCAACUGUCCAGGGGAUGAAUGUGUCCAAAGUAGCAACCUGUCAUCUGCUAUAAAAGUGCUAUUACUUUAAGAGAACAUAUGUGAGGGAUGAAUGGCAUGAACGAACGAACGAACGAACGAAUGAGUCCGUUUAGAUCAAUUAGCCUCAGGUGGAGUCUGGAUAUUAAACAGCAUACUCAACAGUGCCAUUUCAAGAGAAGAAAAUUUGGAUGACCCCCCCCCCCCCCCCCCCCCGCCCCAUCCGGCUUCUUCUACAGCUUUUCCCGAAUAGUGGAUGAUCUCUUGAUCAUUUUAAAGUUUUACAGUUUUAAGUUUAUCUUAUUUCACUUCAUUUCCUUUUGAGUGGUGUCUUCCGGCUACAGCUCAACUUCCCCCAGCUAAUUCAUUAGGCCUGAGAGCUGCUCCGGAGUGGGAUUAGAACCCGUGUAGUACAUACUCCCUUUAAACUGAAAUCUGCUAAUUAAUGGCUCUUCGGUGCGUAACUGAACGAUAGCGCUCCUUCCCCGGGGAAUUGCGAUUUCAUGGUUCCUAAUGAUGCUGCGAUUACAUUAUCUGGAUCACGCAGACGGUGGGAGUCAGGAGCGGUGCUCGGAGCCUGUCUCGGGGAUGGGGAGAAAUUGCUCCUAAAACCAAGGGGACCAGGGAAAGGAGUUAGAACGUUUGUUGUUAAUUGUCAUUAACACGUGCUAUUCCUUCAUCUCAUUCAGGCAUUUGUUUCAGGAUCCAACUUCCCAAAGCUCCGCGAGGUCUCCCCCCCCAUAACCUCACUUCCCCGCCCCCUAUUAUUCAUAGGGUUAUUUUUUGUUUAAAAAAAUAUAUAUAUUUAUUUGCUGUACUCCACAAAGUAAUUUAUUUUCAUUACAUUUCUUGGAAAUGUGGGUCUACAAACCGUUAGUACAAGUAAUAUGUGUUGAUUGUUGUUUCCUGAACCAACUUGUAUUAUUUGAUGAGUUAAAUAAAAUGCCUAAAUCC
rnacentral:lncRNA from 1 species